UACUUGGAACAGAGCACACGAACGGAAUCCACGGUUCCGCCCAUCGAGCCGAAACAUCAAAAUCGUCAUCGUUUUCCUAUCUGCGAUGUUAUCUCAUCGAUUGAGAUCUGUGUUUGUUGCAUACAAAAAUUAACCAGAACAAUACGAUUGCUUAUAUCGGACGUUAUUUGAUGCUUGAUGAAUUAGACACGUGCCUCAAUUUGUGCUUUUAAGAAAUUUGUAAAUGAUAAAUAAAGGCAUGCAAAACCGAUA